CACGUAGGGCGCAAGCGUUGUCCGGAAUUAUUGGGCGUAAAGAGCUCGUAGGCGGUCUGUUGCGUCCGCUGUGAAAACUCGGGGCUUAACCCCGAGCCUGCAGUGGAUACGGGCAGACUAGAGGUAGGUAGGGGAGAAUGGAAUUCCCGGUGUAGCGGUGAAAUGCGCAGAUAUCCGGAAGAACACCGGUGGCGAAGGCGGCCUGCUGGGCAGUGGCUGACGCUGAUGCGCGACAGCGUGGGGAGCAAACAGG
rnacentral:rRNA from 1 species